rnacentral:rRNA from 1 species
AAAAUANUUUUNUAUUAACAUAAAAUUUNUUUUAUAUUUAAUUGGGAGAAUUGUUAAAUUUAAAAAAUUUUGAUUUUUAUAAACUUAAAUUAAAGGAAAGUUAUUGAUUUGAAAUUUUUAAUUAUUAGAGUAAAUUACCUUAGUGAUAACANCGUAAUAUUUNUUUAUAGAUCUUAUAGAAAANAAUGNUUGCGACCUCGAUGUUGAAUUAAGAUAAAUUUUAAAUGUAGAAGUUUAAUAAUUAAGUCUGUUCGACUUUUAAAAUCUUACAUGAUUUGAGUUCAAAUC